rnacentral:rRNA from 1 species
CACGUAGGGUGCGAGCGUUGUCCGGAAUUAUUGGGCGUAAAGGGCGCGUAGGCGGCUUUUCAAGUGACGGGUGAAAUCCCUCGGCUUAACCGAGGAACUGCCUGUCAGACUGGAAGGCUUGAGACCGGGAGAGGUGAGUGGAAUUCCCAGUGUAGCGGUGAAAUGCGUAGAUAUUGGGAGGAACACCAGUGGCGAAGGCGGCUCACUGGACCGGAACUGACGCUGAGGCGCGAAAGCGUGGGGAGCAAACAGG